GAUGAACGCUGGCGGCGUGCCUAAUACAUGCAAGUCGAGCGAACAGACGAGGAGCUUGCUCCUCUGACGUUAGCGGCGGACGGGUGAGUAACACGUGGAUAACCUACCUAUAAUACUGGGAUAACUUCGGGAAACCGGAGCUAAUACCGGAUAAUAUAUUGAACCGCAUGGUUCAAUAGUGAAAGACGGUUUUGCUGUCACUUAUAGAUGGAUCCGCGCCGAAUUAGAUAGUUGGUAAGGUAACGGCUUACCAAGGCAACGAUGCGUAGCCGACCUGAGAGGGUGAUCGGCCACACUGGAACUGAGACACGGUCCAGAGUCCUACGGGAGGCAGCAGUAGGGAAUCUUCCGCAAUGGGCGAAAGCCUGACGGAGCAACGCCGCGUGAGUGAUGAAGGUCUUCGGAUCGUAAAACUCUGUUAUUAGGGAAGAACAAAUGUGUAAGUAACUAUGCACGUAUUGACGGUACCUAAUAAGAAAGCAACGGCUAACUACGUG
rnacentral:rRNA from 1 species